UUAAUAGUUGCAGUCGCAGGAGUCAUAUCCUUGGCCCUGUCCAGGCUCACCUGGCAGUAAUGGUGGCGUCUCUCCCUGACCCUGACCCUGACCUCCCCGGAAAAUGUUGCUAAGAAAUAUACGUCACCUCGUCCCUAUCUUUUUGAGCUGCUCUUGCUGUCGCUCUACAUUGUGCCAGCUGUCUUUCCAUUUCGGCAAUCUGUCCCUGCAUCGAACGUCUUACCGUCUCGCAUCUCUCUUUUGUUCUGGCUACUUGACGGGCUGAAUCCUCACGCACCUACAGAAUAACAUUACAGGAGAUAUGCACGAGUUCCGUCUAAACACAGCUUUCGGACAACAUAUGCGACGCUAUUCUGACAUGAAAAAUUGCUUGAAAAACUGAAUGCAAAUGCAGAAAAAAAUGCAGAUCAGUAAUGUUGCGUCGGAGAUAAUUUUCAUAGAGUGUAUAAUGUUUUGAAAUGCUAAUUGACAAGUACGAAUAUAAUUGUUGAGCCCUUAUCCCCGAAUUAACUGCAGAGUUAAAUAUUUUCAACAAUUUCUGCAAAGCGUAUGGAUUUCCCAACUGAUUAUCACAAACAGUCGUACUUGUAUGAAUAAUUGUUUGCGUUU
rnacentral:lncRNA from 1 species